AGAGCGAACGCUGGCGGCAGGCCUAACACAUGCAAGUCGAGCGCUCGUAGCAAUACGAGAGCGGCAGACGGGAGAGUAACACGUGGGAACGUACCCUUUGGUUCGGAACAACACAGGGAAACUUGUGCUAAUACCGAAUAAGCCCUUACGGGGAAAGAUUUAUCGCCAAAGGAUCGGCCCGCGUCUGAUUAGCUAGUUGGUGGGGUAACGGCUCACCAAGGCGACGAUCAGUAGCUGGUCUGAGAGGAUGACCAGCCUCAUUGGGACUGAGACACGGCCCAAACUCCUACGGGAGGCAGCAGUGGGGAAUAUUGGACAAUGGGCGCAAGCCUGAUCCAGCCAUGCCGCGUGGAUGAUGAAGGCCUUAGGGUUGUAAAGUCCUUUUAACGGGGAAGAUAAUGACGGUACCCGUAGAAUAAGCCCCGGCUAACUUCGUGCCAGCAGCCGC
rnacentral:rRNA from 1 species